rnacentral:rRNA from 1 species
AGGAAUAUUGCGCAAUGGGGGCAACCCUGACGCAGCGACGCCGCGUGGAUGAUGAAGGCCUUGGUUGUAAAAUCCUGUCAGAUGGGAAGAAGUGCUAUAUGGUUAAUAUCUGUAUAGU